rnacentral:rRNA from 1 species
AUCCACCUGGGGAGUACGAUCGCAAGGUUGAAACUCAAAGGAAUUGACGGGGGCCCGCACAAGCGGAGGAACAUGUGGUUUAAUUCGAUGAUACGCGAGGAACCUUACCUGGGCUUAAAUGUAUAUUGCAUAGAUUGGAAACAGUCUUUCUCUUCGGAGCUAUUUACAAGGUGCUGCAUGGUUGUCGUCAGCUCGUGCCGUGAGGUGUCGGGUUAAGUCCCAUAACGAGCGCAACCCCUACCGUUAGUUGCCAUCAGGUUAAGCUGGGGACUCUAGCGGGACUGCCACCGUAAGGUGAGAGGAAGGUGGGGAUGACGUCAAAUCAGCACGGCCCUUAUGUCCAGGGCUACACACGUGUUACAAUGGCGUGUACAAAGGGCAGCUACCUGGCAACAGGAUGCUAAUCUCUAAAGCUUGUCUCAGUUCGGAUUGGAGUCUGCAACCCGACUCCAUGAAGUUGGAUUCGCUAGUAAUCGGAUAUCAGCCAUGAUCCGGUGAAUACGUUCCCGGGCCUUGUACACACCGCCCGUCAAACCAUGGAAGCUGGGGGUACCUGAAGUAUGUGACCGCAAGGAGCGUCCUAGGGUAAAACUAGUAACUGGGGUUAAGUCGUAACAAGGUAGCCG